rnacentral:rRNA from 1 species
UACAGAGGGUGCAAGCGUUAAUCGGAAUUACUGGGCGUAAAGGGUGCGUAGGUGGUUGAAUAAGUUAGGUGUGAAAGCCCCGGGCUUAACCUGGGAAUUGCGCCUAAUACUGUCUGACUAGAGUACUGUAGAGGAAGGUGGAAUUUCCGGUGUAGCGGUGAAAUGCGUAGAUAUCGGAAGGAACAUCAGUGGCGAAGGCGACUUUCUGGACAGAUACUGACACUGAGGCACGAAAGCAUGGGGAGCAAACAGG